rnacentral:rRNA from 1 species
GGGCCCGCACAAGCGGUGGAGUAUGUGGUUUAAUUCGAUGCAACGCGAAGAACCUUACCAGGGUUUGACAUCCUGCGAAUCUCUUGGAAACGAGAGAGUGCCUUCGGGAACGCAGUGACAGGUGGUGCAUGGCUGUCGUCAGCUCGUGUCGUGAGAUGUUGGGUUAAGUCCCGCAACGAGCGCAACCCACGUCUUUAGUUGCCAGCAUUUAGUUGGGCACUCUAGAGAGACCGCCGGUGAUAAACCGGAGGAAGGUGUGGAUGACGUCAAGUCCUCAUGGCCCUUAUGGGCUGGGCUACACACGUGCUACAAUGGCAGUGACAGAGGGACGCUACUUCGCGAGAAGAUGCAAAUCUCAAAAAGCUGUCUCAGUUCGGAUUGUUGUCUGCAACUCGACAACAUGAAGUCGGAAUCGCUAGUAAUCGCGUAUC